rnacentral:lncRNA from 1 species
GAUCUGAGUAACAGUAUCAUCAUGUUGACCUGAAUGGUAUUUAUAGGAAGUUACACAUAUCAGGCUGCACAUGGGGGCUCAAGCUUGUAAUCCAGGCACUUUGGGAGCCCGAGUCGGGUGGAUCACCUGAGGUCAGAAGUUCAGGACCGACCUAGCCAACAUGGCGAAACCCCAUCUAUACUAAAAAUACAAAAAUUCGCUGGACGUGGUGGCGGGCAGCUGUAAUCCCAGCUCCUCGGGAGGCUGAGGCAGGAGAAUGGUGUGAACCCAAAAGACGGAGUGACCCGAGAUCGUGCCACUGCACCCCAGCCUGGGCAAGAAGAGCAAAACUCUUCUCAAAAACAAAAAGAAAAAGUUACGCCAAUACUCCUAAGUGCACAUGAUACAUUUUCCAACACAGACCAACUGCUGUGUCCUAAAACAAGUUCCAACGAAUUUUAAAAGAAUCAUACAAAGUAUGCUUUCUGAGCACAGAGGAAUUAAAUUAGAAAUCAACCACAAAUAAAAUAGGAAAAACUCAAAUGUUUGGAAAUUAACCCACUAUUGAAUAAACCAUGGGUCAAAGAAGAACUCAAAUGGGAAAUUAGAAAAUAUUUCCAGGCUGGGGCCAGGCGCAGUGGCUCACACAUGUAAUCCCUGCACUUUGGGAGGUCGAGGUGGGUGGAUCAGAAGGACAGGAGUUCAAGACUAUCCUGGCCAGCAUGGUGAAACCCCAUCUCUACUAAAAGUUUAAAAAAUUAGCUGGGCGUGGUGGUGCACACCUGUAAUCCCAGCUACUCGGGCGGCUGGGGCAGAGAAUUGCUUAAAAACCCUAGAGGUGGAGCUGGCAGUGAGCCAAGAUCGCACCACUGCACUCCAGCCUGGGUGACAGAGCGAGACUGUUUCAAAAAAAAAAAAUUUGUAACUCAGGUGGGGAAAAAAUAACAGAAGAAGAAAAAAUAUUUCCAACUGAAUAAUAAUGAAAAUAUAACAUCAAAAUUGUUGGUGUAGCUAAAGCAAUACUUAGAACUCUG